rnacentral:rRNA from 1 species
CGCCUUGCCAGCCCGCUCAGAACUCAAAGGAAUUGAGGGGGCCCGCACAAGCGGUGGAGCAUGUGGUUUAAUUCGAUGAUACGCGAGGAACCUUACCUGGGCUCAAAUGUAUGUUGACGUAUUCUGAAAGGGAUACUUCUUCGGACAAUAUACAAGGUGCUGCAUGGUUGUCGUCAGCUCGUGCCGUGAGGUGUCGGGUUAAGUCCCAUAACGAGCGCAACCCCUAUCAUUAGUUGCCAUCAGGUCAAGCUGGGGACUCUAAUGAAACUGCCUACGCAAGUAGUGAGGAAGGUGGGGAUGACGUCAAAUCAUCAUGGCCCUUACGGCCUGGGCUACACACGUGCUACAAUGGUCGGUACAAAGGGUUGCCAAGCCGCGAGGUGGAGCUAAUCCCAUAAAACCGAUCGUAGUCCGGAUCGCAGUCUGCAACUCGACUGCGUGAAGUCGGAAUCGCUAGUAAUCGUGAAUCAGAAUGUCACGGUGAAUACGUUCCCGGGCCUU